AGAAAAUAUUAAGAGAGUGUUGAAGAGAAUAGCCUUAAAAGGCAACAAGAAGACACAUACUAUGCUAGUUGCAAUAUCAUAAUUUCUCAACAAGAAACUAUGACUAUGCAGGUUAGUCUCAUGCAUGGAUUUGGUAAUCAUUAGUUAUCAAGAAGAAAGUAAUGGCAGACUCAAUACUUCAUAUCAUGUGAUUCCCAAAUCCCAAUCAUGUAAAUCCAGGAGAUGAUUGAUUAGAAAUGCAAAACAAAAGACGCUAAUGACUUUACUAUUCUAAGCAACGUCUUGCCAAAAAACAAGUAAAGCUAAAGCUUACUUUAAAUGACCCAGACAGUAACAGUAACAUCACCGCAUAUCAUUUUGACAGUUCUCUCCCUCUCUCUGAGUGUGCGAAUGUGUGUAAAU
rnacentral:misc_RNA from 1 species